UACGAGGGGGGCAAGCGUUGUUCGGAAUUAUUGGGCGUAAAGGGCGCGUAGGCGGUGCGGUAAGACUGUGGUGAAAUCUACAGGCUCAACUUGUAGUCUGCAUGAGAAACUGCCGGGCUUGAGUAUGGGAGAGGUGAGUGGAAUUCCUGGUGUAGCGGUGAAAUGCGUAGAUAUCAGGAGGAACACCGGUGGCGAAGGCGGGUCUCUGGGCCGAUACUGACGCUGGAGGAGCGAAAGCGUGGGGAGCGAACAGG
rnacentral:rRNA from 1 species